UAAUAAAAAGGACGGCGGGCUUAGAG
rnacentral:piRNA from 1 species